UACAGAGGGUGCAAGCGUUGUUCGGAAUUAUUGGGCGUAAAGGGCGCGUAGGCGGCGCGGUAAGUCACCUGUGAAAUCUCCAAGCUUAACUUGGAGCCUGCAGGCGAAACUGCCGUGCUGGAGUAUGGGAGAGGUGCGUGGAAUUCCCGGUGUAGCGGUGAAAUGCGCAGAUAUCGGGAGGAACACCGGUGGCGAAGGCGGUUCUCUGGGCCUUACCUGACGCUGAGGAGCGAAAGCGUGGGGAGCGAACAG
rnacentral:rRNA from 1 species